GACGAACGCUGGCGGCGUGCUUAACACAUGCAAGUCGAACGGAAAGGCCCUGCUUUUGUGGGGUGCUCGAGUUGCGAACGGGUGAGUAACACGUGUGUAACCUGCCCUUGACUUUGGGAUAACUUCAGGAAACUGGGGCUAAUACCGGAUAGGAGCUCCUGCUGCAUGGUGGGGGCUGGAAAGUUUCGGCGGUUGGGGAUGGACUCGCGGCUUAUCAGCUUGUUGGUGGGGUAGUGGCUUACCAAGGCUUUGACGGGUAGCCGGCCUGAGAGGGUGACCGGCCACAUUGGGACUGAGAUACGGCCCAGACUCCUACGGGAGGCAGCAGUGGGGAAUAUUGCACAAUGGGCGGAAGCCUGAUGCAGCAACGCCGCGUGCGGGAUGACGGCCUUCGGGUUGUAAACCGCUUUCGCCUGUGACGAAGCGUGAGUGACGGUAAUGGGUAAAGAAGCACCGGCUAACUACGUG
rnacentral:rRNA from 1 species